UACGUAGGGGGCAAGCGUUGUCCGGAUUUAUUGGGCGUAAAGAGCGUGUAGGCGGCUUUGCAAGUCCGUUGUGAAAACUCGAGGCUCAACCUCGAGACGCCGGUGGAAACUGCAAAGCUAGAGUCCGGAAGAGGAGAGUGGAAUUCCUGGUGUAGCGGUGAAAUGCGUAGAGAUCAGGAAGAACACCGGUGGCGAAAGCGCUCUGCUGGACCUUAACUGACACUGAGGGACGAAAGCUAGGGGAGCGAAUGGG
rnacentral:rRNA from 1 species